rnacentral:rRNA from 1 species
AACGAACGCUGGCGGCAGGCCUAACACAUGCAAGUCGAGCGAGACCUUCGGGUCUAGCGGCGGACGGGUGAGUAACGCGUGGGAACGUGCCCUUUUCUACGGAAUAGCCUCGGGAAACUGAGCGUAAUACCGUAUACGCCCUUUGGGGGAAAGAUUUAUCGGAGAAGGAUCGGCCCGCGUUGGAUUAGGUAGUUGGUGUGGUAAUGGCCUACCAAGCCUACGAUCCAUAGCUGGUUUGAGAGGAUGAUCAGCCACACUGGGACUGAGACACGGCCCAGACUCCUACGGGAGGCAGCAGUGGGGAAUCUUAGACAAUGAGGGCAACCCUGAUCUAGCCAUGCCGCGUGAGUGAUGAAGGCCUUAGGGUUGUAAAGCUCUUUCAGCUGGGAAGAUAAUGACGGUACCAGCAGAAGAAGCCCCGGCUAACUCCGUG